GGCGGCGUGCUUAACACAUGCAAGUCGAACGAUGAACCACUUCGGUGGGGAUUAGUGGCGAACGGGUGAGUAACACGUGGGCAAUCUGCCCUUCACUCUGGGACAAGCCCUGGAAACGGGGUCUAAUACCGGAUAUCACCCUCACGGGCAUCUGUGAGGGUUGAAAGCUCCGGCGGUGAAGGAUGAGCCCGCGGCCUAUCAGCUUGUUGGUGAGGUAACGGCUCACCAAGGCGACGACGGGUAGCCGGCCUGAGAGGGCGACCGGCCACACUGGGACUGAGACACGGCCCAGACUCCUACGGGAGGCAGCAGUGGGGAAUAUUGCACAAUGGGCGAAAGCCUGAUGCAGCGACGCCGCGUGAGGGAUGACGGCCUUCGGGUUGUAAACCUCUUUCAGCAGGGAAGAAGCGCAAGUGACGGUACCUGCAGAAGAAGCGCCGGCUAACUACGUGCCAGCAGCCGCGGUAAUACGUAGGGCGCAAGCGUUGUCCGGAAUUAUUGGGCGUAAAGAGCUCGUAGGCGGCUUGUCACGUCGGAUGUGAAAGCCCGGGGCUUAACCCCGGGUCUGCAUUCGAUACGGGCUAGCUAGAGUGUGGUAGGGGAGAUCGGAAUUCCUGGUGUAGCGGUGAAAUGCGCAGAUAUCAGGAGGAACACCGGUGGCGAAGGCGGAUCUCUGGGCCAUUACUGACGCUGAGGAGCGAAAGCGUGGGGAGCGAACAGGAUUAGAUACCCUGGUAGUCCACGCCGUAAACGGUGGGAACUAGGUGUUGGCGACAUUCCACGUCGUCGGUGCCGCAGCUAACGCAUUAAGUUCCCCGCCUGGGGAGUACGGCCGC
rnacentral:rRNA from 1 species